AGAAUGAAGAUGGCUUCCUGUCCCGCUAGCGUCACGUCGGGAUCUGCCUUCACCAAGGCCUUCACUCGCGCCAGAGGCAACCUCGAGAGACGAGCCCCAGGCACACUCGUUGGGGCCUGGGGCUGCGAGGCCGCUGCCUCCCCAGCAGGCCAUUAUAACUACAUUCUUAGAAUGUGAUCCCUUUCAACAUUUCCUGCACCUCUGCUUCUGCACACUACCACCAAAAGACAAGAAAGGCAAGGAGACGUGACUGGAGCAAGAAAAACAGUGUUUUUCACACAAGGAUGUCCACUCCUUGUUGGGAAUGGCUUAAGAUCGACCUGGGAAAGCAAAACAUCGCCAUAUCAUUUGGAGGAAAGGCACUGGUUGGAAGAGCCUGUUGGCGUGGCAAAGCCAAGGUCUUUAAAGUCCUCAGAGAAGGCAGGCAUAGCCACCACUGGAGGACUUCCUGAUAUGUGGUACAGAGACUGAUGAGGGCAUGGGGUGACAACCUUAGGUGCCAACAGCAAGGGGAUGGAUAUACAGGGUAAAGGAGGCUUGCUGCCAUCCUACGCCUUUGAACGCCACAAAUCAGAGAUGGUACCAUGGAGGAACAUGAACAGGUGAGAGCUGAGGCAUGGGUGCCCACACACAGCCCAAGCCCAGGUGCUAACAGUUGACCAUCAGUAGCCCAGUGCCCCGAAUUCAUCCUGCGCCUGAUUAUCACCCAAAAGCAGUGCAUCGGCACCAUUCUGGUGACUCAAUAUCACACAAUGGCACCAGCCAGCAGGAACAAUCCAAUUGCCAGGCUGCCCUCCUGCACAGAGCCCAAGCCACAGAGCCCUCAGAUAACUCCAUUGAUGCAAAUCUCAGAGUUCCUCAAGGAAACAGGUCAACCCUGCACAUGGAGUGGAGAUUCAGAAAGGCCCCAAAAAGGAAAAAAACAAGGAUCAGUGUCCAUGUAUGUCCCUGUAUGGGGCUGCCAUUUGUCCUAACCACCCUGGGGUCUGCCAUAGCUGAGCCAGCCCUACUGGAAGAGGAUAGUCAAAUAACCUCACUCGUAUUCUUUUGCCACUUACUGUGUUGCCCUAGCUUCCCUCCAGGGGAUCCUCAUUUUGUCCUAGGCUCAACCUUACCUUUGAUCACUUUAGGACUCAGGCACAAGAUUUCACAUUGCUGGGAAUCCAUUUUCAGUCUUUGAAAAGACACAGUGAUUCUUCAGGAAGUUUGUUAUCCCAAAGAUGCAACAGAGACAGAAUUUCCCAGCUUGAAGGGAUUUGAAACAUCCAUAAAGUUACAGAAAUUCAUAUCUGGAGGAGUCUUAACGGUCAUUCAGACCAACGCUUUCUCGGGUAUCUAUAACAUCCAAUGCCCUAGUUUCCCUGCUGUCUUUUUUGGCCACUCCUUUUCAAUCUCCUUUGCAGGCUACCCUUUACAGGGCUCAGUCUCCACACUCUUUUGUUCUAGAUUUUCCCCUGGUGACCUCACCGAGGCCUACAGCUUUAAAUACCAUCCAUAUGCUGAUAAUUCCCAAAUUUAUAUUUCCAGUCCCAAGCUCUCCACUGAGUUUCAGGCUCAUAUAUCCAAAUGUCUACUUCUUGCCUUCAGUAUACCUUACAAACCUCUCAAGUUUGACGUGCCUAGAACUGGACUCUGGAUUUUACCUUUUGCCCGUAUCAACAAGUUCCUCUCUUAGUCUUCCAAUCACAGAAAGGGCUCCACCAUCAAGAUGGACAUGAGCCUAAAACCCAAGAAUUCUUGUUUCCUGCCUUCCUUUCCUUCUCUCACAUUCAGUCUCCUGGUAGACUUGUUCAUUUACUUCCACCAUUUCUAUCUACUUCUUUUCAUCUCCAGUGCCAACAUUCUUGUCCAAGCCAUCACUCUCUCUCCCCAAACCACUCCAAUAGCAUCCUAACUGGUUUUCCCUACCCUUAUCUCACCUCAAUCCAUUCUCUGCAUAUUAGCUGGAGUGAUCCUUUCAAGAAGUGAAUACAAACCUUAAAUCUUUCAACAGCCCUCACUGCAUCCAGAAUAAAAUCCAAGCACCUAUAACUGCCUAAUAUGGCUUCUGUCCACAUCUAACCUCAAAUCUUACCUUCUGCCCUUGCUGUGCUCAAGCCUUUCUGGCCUUUCAUUUCCUUAAACACACCAAGCCUUUCCAGCAUCAGAGACUUUACAAUUCUUCCUGGAAUGCUCUUCCACUAAUUUCUUUAGGUCAUAGUUUGUGGUCAUUUGAAAACAUGUCCACAAAUUCUUUUCUAUCCUAAAAAAAGGGGGAAUCCAAUUCCCCUCCUCUUGAACAUGGACUAGCCUCAGUGGCUUGCUACUAAUGAAUUAAAUGGUAUAGAAGUGACUGUAACUUCUUAGACUAGGUGACCAAAGAUGGCACAGCCUCCACCUGGUUCUCUGUCUUGUGAGGCUCACCCUUGGAACCCAGCCAUCAUGCUGUGACAAAGCCAUGUACCACAUGCAGGUGUUUCGGGGAACAGACCUGUCAGAGGUCCUUGCCAACAGCCAACAUCAGUCAGCAUCAACCACUAGACAUGUAAGUGAGGAAGCCUCCAGAUGAUUCCAGUUCCCACCUUCAGCUGAUGUUAGGUGGAGCAGAGACAUGCUGUCCCCACCUGCCUAAACUGCAGAUUCAUGAGUAAUGUAAUUUCUGUCAUUGUUUUAAGCCAUUAAGUUUUGGGGCAGUUUGUCACACAGCAAUAGACAACUGGAACACAGCUCAUAUGCCCCUUCUCAGAACUGCCCUCCCUGAUCAUCCUAAGUGCCCAUUGGCAUUAUCCAUAACCUGAAAAUUAUUAUGAUUGAUCCUAAAGUCCAGCCUGGUGCCUGGCACGUAGGAGAUGCUCAGUGAAUAUUUGUGGAAUGAUUGAAUAAGGAAAUGAAUCCUCUUGUCACAUUUGAAGUUAUCAGUCAUCAAUAAAAUGGGGAUUUGUUUCAUCGUU
rnacentral:lncRNA from 1 species